CAGGGUCCCCGACAACAACCUGCCGUACUUCCACAAGCGUCCACAGGCCCGCAUGCUGCUGCUGGCCCUCUUCUGUGUCACUGUCUCCGUGGUGUGGGGUGUCUUCCGUAAUGAGGACCAGUGGGCAUGGGUCCUGCAGGACACCCUGGGCAUUGCCUUCUGCCUGUACAUGCUGAGGACCAUUCGCCUGCCCACCUUCAAGGUGAGGGCUGCCAUGGCAGGGCAGGUCAAUUCCUGGUGGGGGGCUGAGGGCCUGGGCGCACAGGUCUCGAGGGCAGUGCUGGCUCCCACAGGCCUGCACACUGCUGCUGCUGGUGCUCUUCGUCUACGACAU
rnacentral:lncRNA from 1 species